GGCAAGUUAGACAAGUGCAAAAAUAAAAUCAUCUUUUACAACCUAGAACUCAGUGUUCAGUAUGAGUUUUGAUACACACAAGAAGUAAAUAU
rnacentral:snoRNA from 1 species